GUGCGUACGUGCGUCGUCUCUAUGGUGGCGGCGGAUUUGGAGGGACCCUACGAACCAGGAGUCAGGCGAGCCGAUCUGGGGCUGCAGGAUGUUCCGCUGGGAGCGCUCCAUUCCCCUGCGAGGCUCGGCCGCCGCCCUGUGCAACAACCUCAGUGUGCUGCAGCUGCCGGCUCGCAACCUCACGUAUUUUGGCGUGGUUCAUGGACCAAGCGCCCAGCUUCUCAGCGCUGCUCCUGAGGGUGUGCCCUUGGCCCAGCGCCAGCUCCACGCUAAGGAGGGUGCUGGAGUGAGUCCCCCACUUAUCACUCAGGUCCACUGGUGUGUCCUCCCCUUCCGAGUGCUGCUGGUACUCACCUCACAUCGAGGAAUACAGGUAAGAAGAGGACUCUCCUGCUUGCCCCACCAGAGCCUUCUCAGCUUCCCUGCCAGGCUUCCAGACUUUCCCACUUGCCUCUAAACACUUCCAGACUUUUCACAUGCUUGGCCCACUCACUCUUUUUCUAUUUCCUAUCUUCAAUCUUUCCAUCUUUUCCAGUUUCCAAGUGCCACCUC
rnacentral:sRNA from 1 species